rnacentral:rRNA from 1 species
UACGGAGGGUGCGAGCGUUGUCCGGAAUCAUUGGGCGUAAAGGGCGCGUAGGUGGCCCGGUAAGCGUGCGGUGAAAGCUUGGGGCUCAACCCCGAGUCGGCCGUGCGAACUGCUGGGCUUGAGCACUGUAGAGGCAGGCGGAAUUCCGGGUGUAGCGGUGGAAUGCGUAGAUAUCGGGAGGAACACCUGUGGCGAAAGCGGCGCACUGGACCAUAACUGACGCUGAGGCGCGAAAGCUAGGGGAGCAAACAGG